GUCUUUAGGAAAUAGAUAAAUGAGUGCUGCCAGCAUUGCUGCAGAGGUUGGGGGGGGGGUCAGCCUGUCAGUGCUCAGACCAUACACCGCACACUGCAUCAAACUGCGGGCUUUCUUGUGCAUCAUCUUUAGAAGAAGCUUUUUUCUGGGACAACAACCAUGCAGGCCAAACAGUUUGCUGAAGACCAAGAUAAACUUAUUUGGUUCAGACGGUGUCAAGCGUGUGUGGCAGCAACCAGCUGAGAAGUACAAAGACAAAUUUGUCUUUCCUACAGUGAAGCAUGGUGGUAGGAGUGUCAUGGUCUCGGCCUGCAUGAGUGCUGCUGGCACUGGGGAACUACAGUUCAUUGAGAGAACCAUGAAUCCCG